UAACGGCGAGUGAAGCGGUAAAAGCUCAAAUUUGAAAUCUAGUACCUUCGGUGCUCGAGUUGUAAUUUGUAGAGGGAUACUUUGGGGCCGUUCCUUGUCUAUGUUCCUUGGAACAGGACGUCAUAGAGGGUGAGAAUCCCGUGUGGCGAGGAGUGCGGUUCUAUGUAAAGUGCUCUCGAAGAGUCGAGUUGUUUGGGAAUGCAGCUCUAAGUGGGUGGUAAAUUCCAUCUAAAGCUAAAUAUUGGCGAGAGACCGAUAGCGAACAAGUACAGUGAUGGAAAGAUGAAAAGAACUUUGAAAAGAGAGUGAAAAAGUACGUGAAAUUGUUGAAAGGGAAGGGCAUUUGAUCAGACAUGGUGUUUUGUGCCCUCUGCUCCUUGUGGGUGGGGGAAUCUCGCAGCUCACUGGGCCAACAUCAGUUUUGGCGGCAGGAUAAAUCUAUAGGAAUGUAGCUUGCUUCGGGAAGUGUUAUAGCCUGUGGGAAUACUGCCAGCCGGGACUGAGGACUGCGACUUUGUCAAGGAUGUUGGCAUAAU
rnacentral:rRNA from 1 species